GGAAUGUAGCUCAGUGGUAGAGUGCUUGUCUAGCAUGCAUGAGGUCCUGGGUUCAAACCUCAGCACCA
rnacentral:tRNA from 1 species